UUUCUUACUCUAUCACUUUUCGUGUGCUGCGUUUUGAAAACUCCCGUUUUCUUUAUAAAAAUAUAUCCAUAAUGAACAUGAAUUGUCAAUUGUCACGUCCAAAAAAACGUGUUAAAAAGCAUUUUUCUGUAGAGGAUAAAACUUCUGUACUGAAUAUUUUCAAAACCUACGAGACUGAGAAUCCUCAAAAUUCAAAAGUACAAAACGUCCAAAUCACAGCGGAAUCGAGUGGAAUUGCAGUAUCAAGUGUAUAUAAAAUUUUGAAAGAAUAUAAUUCCAACAACCAUACAGUGCUACCACCCAAGAAAUAUUCACGGAUACGUGGGGUGUUGGACAAUAUUAGGGAUGAAGACAAAAAUUUGAUUCGAAGAAUGGUACAAUCUUUUUAUUCAAGAAACGAAACACCUACUCUAGAUAAAGUGUUACACGCUGUUAAUGAAUGCGAUGAUCUUCCCUGUUUUACCAGAUCAACAUUUAGCAAAAUAUUAAGUGAAAUUAAAUCUUGGUAAGUGAAAAACUGAAUCGUAGCGUUGAGUUGGAUUGAA